GUGUGCCAGCAGCGUACUUCGGAGAAGUUCUGAAGGCACCACCAGUCCUGAGGCGAUUUUACGCUGUGAAAAUCCUACCGGACGCUUUAGAAGAAGUACUUAAGCUGCUGCUUAAGCAAGGAUCAUAUUCGCUCAACAACUUCACCGUCUUCUCAUCAUGGACUGAAAACGCCACCUCACGUUUCAACGUCCUGGAAGACUGCCUCAUGAAGGCAUACAUGGACAGGCUUCUCGCGCCUCUUAACUACACGGUUUUGAAAACCAAUUUCCCUUGGGUGUUGGCCGAGAUCGUCGGAGCACGAUUGGCCCUCGAUCUUUAUCUCGAGCUUUACAAGAAGAUUACUGCGAAAGCUAGCCCAAAUGACUCCGGAAUAUUCGUGCGUGGCUUCAGCCCUUUCAGAGCCCAGCAAAUGGCGUUCAUCUUUUACGCUGAG